rnacentral:rRNA from 1 species
CUAUGUUCGGAAAAGAUAACCGCUGAAAGCAUCUAAGCGGGAAACUUGCCUCAAGAUGAGAUCUCACUGGGAACUUGAUUCCCCUGAAGGGCCGUCGAAGACUACGACGUUGAUAGGCUGGGUGUGUAAGCGUUGUGAGGCGUUGAGCUAACCAGUACUAAUUGCCCGUGAGGCUUGACCAUAUAACACCCAAACA